rnacentral:rRNA from 1 species
CCCUUAGAUGUUCGGGGCCGCACGCGCGCUACACUGAAUGAAUCAGCGAGUGUAUGUCCUAGGCCGAAAGGUCCGGGUAACCCGUUGAACCUCAUUCGUGAUUGGGAUAGGGACUUGCAAUUGUUUCCCUUGAACGAGGAAUUCCCAGUAAGCGCAAGUCAUCAGCUUGCGUUGAUUACGUCCCUGCCCUUUGUACACACCGCCCGUCGCUACUACCGAUUGAAUGCUCAGGUGAGCCAUUCGGACUUUCAUCAUGCUGGUUUCCAGUUUUGAUGAAGGAAAGUCUUGCGAACCUUAUCAUUUAGAGGAAGGAGAAGUCGUAACA